AAAUUAAUCGAAGCUUCGGAUGUUUUGCUACCAGCUGGGGAAAGGUCAUCAGAAUUUCACCAAUACCUGCACACAGGAAUCAGUAAAGUUAAACUAACAUUAUCAAUUACUAAUUAUCAAAAUAUCUUGGUAUGUGUCUAAGAGACAUUGGGUGUCCAUACAUAAAAUUAUGGCAUGCUGAAAACAGAAGAUUUUGUUAAUAUUGAGAAAUGGCCAGAAUGGUGAAAAUUUCUGAAGGUCAUAUCCUGGAAACCACUCGAGAAAUGUAUCAUGACGGUCACGAUAUGGAUCGCAAAAGUCACAAUGCAUCCUGAAUGUCAACUUUCACGAUGCUAAAAAAAAUUUACUAUCGCAACAGUUUCGUGAAUCGUGCGCGACACACUUGAUACGCAAUCCAGGAUGUUAGGUGUCCUGAUUCCAGUACUAUAUAUACCUCUGUUCUCUACACUAUAAUAUUGUGAACGGUGCCCACCUCUUCUGAAAGAAUAACAGUUAAGAUUAAUGUACAGAUAUGAAAACAGUUUCCCUGUUGAGAAACAGUUUCCAUAUAGCUACAGAAACUUUUUUGUGUGUAAAAAUAAGAAACAGUUUCUGAAUACAAAAACCAAUUUCAGUUUUCCAUCCUCCACAAACUAAUUUUUUUAUUAUA